CUCAUGUGCACUCUCUUUCUCUCUCAAAGUAAACAUAAAAAAAAAAAGGUAGAAUUUAGCCCUCCACCCAUUGAAUUUGGGGUGUUUAUGACUUGCUUGUAUCUGAUACAAUGGGGCUGAAAUAACUCCCUGUGGCAUCCAUGGCUAGGUCUUACAAGGCAAUCCAGCGUCUGCUUUGUUAGCGGGAACAUUCCUCACCUUUGGAGCCCUGCGCUCCCACGUGAGAAGUUAGCCCAGCCCGAGGCUGCCGUGAAGCGGGGCAGCCGACGGCCAUGUGGUGAGGCCACAAGUAGCUUUUUCAGCCCUAGCUGAGGUCCCAGCCAGCAGCCAGCAUCGGCCACCGGAUGCGUGAAGAGGACGGUCACCUCCAAGUGAUCCCAGCCCUGGCCACCAGCUGUCUUUUUGUUGAGGUCCAGAUGUUGUGGAGGAGAGAUGAGCUAUACCCCCUGUGCCCUUCCAGUUCCUAACCUAGCCCGCAGGAUUAGGGUAGUAAUGAUGGUUAUAUUACUCCCACUGAGUUUAGGGUAGUUCCAGUAGUAACUGGAACAACAUAUAGGAUUCCUAGACAGUGAACACAUAUGUGCCAGCAUCCAUACUAAACACGGUACACACAUCUACACCCACCCGGGCGACUUCUCUACGCCUCCUAAAGGGAUGGGCUCCACAUCUACCUCAAAGAAUGCGCGACACUUGUCAAUCGCCUGCCUCAAGUCUCUUUGCUGAGAAACCCUGUCCCCUCCCUUAUCUGAUCCAUACACCUUCCUAGCCACCCAACCCCUUUGUGUCCCAAGUAAAGCAGAAGUUGUGGCUGAAGUCAUUAAUAGGCCUACAAUCUCUGCCCAGGGAGGCCCUUUGCUAGAAUGGCCACCAGACUGUCCCUGCGUGGUCCGGGGACAGACCCCUGUGCGACCAGCUCCAUCGCUUUCGGAAUUGUGGACUGCCUCACCUUCCACGGGAGCUGGGUAAUAGUGAACCCACAAACAGUAUUUCCCUAUGCGGCGGGCACUGAUUUCAUCCUCAGAAGAGCUCGGUGAGAUGAGAAAACUGAGGGCAGAGACAGAAAAUAGUUGGCCUAGAGUUCCACAGCUAGCCGGUGAAGGGGCCUGGAGCUGAGGCUUCCGCUUCCAGACGUCUUUCUUUAAAGGAAACGGAGAGGAAACCGUAAGCGAGGCUGGAAGGAAACAAACGGAGUCAAUUGUGAGGAAACCGACUGCAGAUCUUUCUGCCAAGGGG